rnacentral:tRNA from 1 species
GGCGAGAUGGCAGAGCGGUCUAAUGCGAUAGACUAGAAAUCUAUUCUCUUCGGAGGCACCGGUUCAAAUCCGGUUCUCGUCG